rnacentral:rRNA from 1 species
AACGUAGGAGACAAACGUUAUCCGGAGUUACUGGGCGUAAAGGGCGUGUAGGUGGUUUCGUAAGUCUGCCGUGAAAUUUCUCGGCUUAACCGAGGCAGGUCGUCGGAUACUGCGGAACUUGAGGACGGUAGAGGCGUGUGGAAUUCCGGGUGUAGUGGUGAAAUGCGUAGAGAUCCGGAGGAACACCAGUGGCGAAGGCGACACGCUGGGCCGUACCUGACACUGAUGCGCGACAGCAUGGGGAGCAAACAGG